CCAAAAACAUAGCCCUAGAAAAAAUCUAAGGUGUAACCUGCCCAGUGAUCUUUAAUUAUAAUAAGAUAAAAUCUUAAUAAUAAGAUUAAAAGGACGCGGUAACCUUGACCGUGAUAAUGUAGCAUAAUCACUCGCCAUUUAAUUGAUGGAUAGUAUGAAUGGUUGAACGAAUAUUUCACUGUCUUAGAAAAAAUUAACAAAAAUUGAAAUAAUAGUUAAGAUGCUAUUUAAAACUGUAAGACGAAAAGACCCUAUAGAGCUUAACUAUAAUCUCUUUACUCCUAAAAGAAUAAUAUUUCUAUCAUUAAAGAGAUUGGUAGUUUAGUUGGGGCGACUGCCUUCUAAAAUUAACGAAGGUAAGCAAUGUUAAUAAAUAAUUUAUUGUAUAACACAAACGUUUAACAAUUAUAACAAUAGGCUAUAAUGACCCGUUUUUACUUAGUAAAAAGAAAAACGAUUAAUUAAUAAAAGCUACCUUAGGGAUAACAGGAUAAUUUUAUUUUAGAGUUCACAUCGAAAAUAAAGUUUGUCACCUCUAUGUUGAAUUAAGAUAUCCUGAUAAUGCAGCAGUUAUCAAAGGUAGGUCUGUUCGACCUUUA
rnacentral:rRNA from 1 species